CUCACAAGGCACAUUUCUGGGACAUGUGACUCCUUUGAGAACAAGAGGUAUAAAUGCUAAGCAGAGGAAGUUAGUUAGUAGUUCCCCAAUUAACAUCUGAAGAGGUCUGUGAUGCUGUAAGACAGAGAGCCUCAGGGUAACCAAGACCCUGCUUCGGGGGACAUUUGACAGACCAAGUACUUGAGAGGGGAAAAGAACAGAAGAAAAGAAGUAUCCAUCUAGGACUGGUAGCUGUACCUGCUUCGUUUGCCAAUCAGGCUACUGCUAUCUUUCAGAUGAAGACACAAGUGGUUCAUCUCUUCUGAAAAAUAAUACAAUCAACGUGGCUCCUGAAGUCAAGCACAGAAUUUUCUGCUGUUGCAAGACCUAGCCACACGGAAAGUUUUAUUUUUAAAUUUCAGCCACUGUUGGAGUAUCUCUGCAGAAAGGCA